rnacentral:rRNA from 1 species
GAUCGGUGCUUGCACCUGAUUGAUUUUGGACGCCAACGAGUGGCGGAUGGCUGAGUAACACGUAGGUCAUCUGCCCACAAACGGGGGAUAACAUUUGGAAACAGAUGCUAAUACCGCAUAACAACGUUGUUCGCAUGAACAACGCUUAAAAGAUGGCUUCUCGCUAUCACUUCUGGAUGGACCUGCGGUGCAUUAGCUUGUUGGUGGGGUAAUGGCCUACCAAGGCGAUGAUGCAUAGCCGAGUUGAGAGACUGAUCGGCCACAAUGGGACUGAGACACGGCCCAUACUCCUACGGGAGGCAGCAGUAGGGAAUCUUCCACAAUGGGCGCAAGCCUGAUGGAGCAACACCGCGUGAGUGAAGAAGGGUUUCGGCUCGUAAAGCUCUGUUGUUAAAGAAGAACACGUAUGAGAGUAACUGUUCAUACGUUGACGGUAUUUAACCAGAAAGUCACGGCUAACUACGUGCCAGCAGCCGCGGUAAUACGUAGGUGGCAAGCGUUAUCCGGAUUUAUUGGGCGUAAAGAGAGUGCAGGCGGUUUUCUAAGUCUGAUGUGAAAGCCUUCGGCUUAACCGGAGAAGUGCAUCGGAAACUGGAUAACUUGAGUGCAGAA